AUUACCGAGUCUCGAACUCACCAAACCCCUGUGAACAUACCAGUGUUGCUUCSGCGGUCGACCCCUCCGCCCUCCCCUCACCGGGUGGGCGGCGCGGUUCCGCCAGAGGACCAUAUCAAAACUCCUGUUUUUUCCCAGAAAGGAUUCCGCUCUGAGUAAACCAAAGAAAACCAUUAAAACUUUCAACAACGGAUCUCUUGGCUCUGGCAUCGAUGAAGAACGCAGCGAAAUGCGAUAAGUAAUGCGAAUUGCAGAUUUCAGUGAAUCAUCGAAUCUUUGAACGCACAUUGCGCCCGCCAGUAUUCUGGCGGGCAUGCCUGUUCGAGCGUCAUUUCAACCCUCAAGCCCCCGGGCUUGGCGUUGGGGAUCGGCAGCCAACCGGCGCCCUCGCGGGCGUCCGGGGCCGUCCCCCAAAUCCAUCGGCGGUCACGCCGCGGCGUCCCCUGCGCAGUACUGCACCUCGCACCGGACCGCGGCCUGGCCACGCCGUAAAACCCCCGACUUUUAUCGUGGUUGACCUCGAAUCAGGUAGGACUACCCGCUGAACUUAAGCAUAUCAAUAAGCGGAGGAAAAGAAACCAACAGGGAUUGCCCCAGUAACGGCGAGUGAAGCGGCAACAGCUCAAAUUUGAAAUCUGGCCCCCGGGUCCGAGUUGUAAUUUGUAGAGGAAGCUUUUGGUGCGGCACCUUCCGAGUCCCCUGGAACGGGACGCCAUAGAGGGUGAGAGCCCCGUCCGGUCGGAUGCCAAUCCUCUGUAAAGCUCCUUCGACGAGUCGAGUAGUUUGGGAAUGCUGCUCUAAAUGGGAGGUAUAUGUCUUCUAAAGCUAAAUACCGGCCAGAGACCGAUAGCGCACAAGUAGAGUGAUCGAAAGAUGAAAAGCACUUUGAAAAGAGAGUUAAAAAGUACGUGAAAUUGUUGAAAGGGAAGCGCUCAUGACCAGACGUGGGCUUGGUUGAUCAACCUGGGUUCUCCCUGGUGCACUCUUCCUAGCCCAGGCCAGCAUCAGUUUGCCUCGGGGGACAAAGGCGUCGGGAAUGUGGCUCCCCCGGGAGUGUUAUAGCCCGUCGCGUAAUACCCUGCGGCAGACUGAG
rnacentral:rRNA from 1 species